AAGAAGUCAGGCCGGAUUAAGCCAUAGUACGGUAAGAGCUAUGCUGCCUGUGAGCCCCGUCUAAGGACGUAAAAUGAAGUCAGGCCGAAAGCCACGGCUUGAGCAAACCGUGCUGCCUGUAGCUCCAUCGUGGGGAUGUAAAAACCUGGGAGGCUGCAACCCAUGGAAGCUGUACGCAUGGGGUAGCAGACUAGUGGUUAGAGGAGACCCCUCCCGAAACAUAACGCAGCAGCGGGGCCCAACACCAGGGGAAGCUGUACCCUGGUGGUAAGGACUAGAGGUUAGAGGAGACCCCCCGCAUAACAAUAAACAGCAU
rnacentral:lncRNA from 1 species